rnacentral:misc_RNA from 1 species
GAUGAAGAACGCAGUGAAAUGCGAUAAGUAAUGUGAAUUGCAGAUUUCAGUGAAUCAUCGAAUCUUUGAACGCACCUUGCGCCUUGUGGUAUUCCACAAGGCAUGCCCGUUUGAGUAUCAUUAAAUCAUCAACUCUAAAACCUUUGUGGUUUUUUUUAGAGCUUGGUCUUGAGGGUUUUGCAGGCUUUUUUUUUUUUUCGAGUCUGCUCCCUUUAAAUGCAUUAGCGAGACUUCCCUAUGCUGAACCGUCUCUUUGACGUGAUAAUUAUCUGCGUCGAAUUUUGGUUCUCGUUGGGCUUGCUUCUAAUCGUCUGUUAAAGACAAAACGGAUUUGGGUGCAUAUAUGCGCCUUUUUCCAAAACCUUUUUUUGAUCUCAAAUCGGGUAGGACUACCCGCUGAACUUAAGCAUAUCAAUAAGCGGAGGA